UACGUAGGUGGCAAGCGUUGUCCGGACUGACUGGGCGUAAAGCGCGCGCAGGCGGUCAGAGGCGUCGGUGCUCAAAGUCCACCGCUUAACGGUGGGAGGCGUGCCGAUACGCUCUGACUGGAGGGCGGGCGAGGGUGGUGGAAUUGCCGGUGUAGUGGUGAAAUGCGUAGAGAUGUGGAGGAACACCAGUGGCGAAGGCGGCGCUCUGGAACAUUUCUGACGCUGAGGCUCGAAAGCGUGGGGAGCAAACAGG
rnacentral:rRNA from 1 species